rnacentral:rRNA from 1 species
CAAGGAUUAAGCCAUGCAAGUGUCAGAGUGAGCAAGGUCACCAGAGCGAGUCUGUGAAUGGCUCAUUACAUCAGUCACAAUCAAACCCGGAGAGAGAGAGGGUACCUCCUGAGGGACCCAGCCAUGUGGAUACCUGUUUUAACAAGGCAGCUAAUACAUGUCGGAGGAGACAUCCACAGACCCUGCAACCUUGCUUGCCUGGGUGGUCACGGUUGUAUGAUCCCAACCAUUGUGACCCUUGUGGGUGUUGCGAUGUACCGCUACCAACAGAGCAAUGCCUAGCGGCAGUGUGUCUUGUUGACCCAGGUGCAUUGUGUGUUUGAAAUGCUUGCAGAGUCAUUAGCAAUGUGGUUCAAUUCCUUGUUCCACUGCAGUUCUGGAGGAGUCUCUGUCCUAUCAGCUGUAGAUCGUGUGAAAGAGUCCCGCAAUGGCCUUAACGGGUGACGGAAAACCAGGGUUUGAUUCCGGAGAGGGAGCCUGAGAGACGGCUACCACAGCCAAGGAUGGCAGCAGGCGCGCAAAUUGCCCAAUAUCAACGCAAGUGAUGAGGCAGCAACAAAGAAUGACAACCUGUCUCGGAUUCUUCCUAACAGGUUUGUGAUGGAUGUUACCCAAAUCAAACAGUGAGUAUCAACUUGUGGGCAAGUCUGGUGCCAGCAGCCGCGGUAAUUCCAGCAUGAGAAGUGUAUACCAACAUUGCUGCUGUUAAAAAGCUCGUAGUUGUCCGCUGGGGCUCAGGUGUCACCACUGGGGUGUGCAUGCAGAAGCAACCUGUUGCCCUGUGUCCACCCUGGGGUUUCUCUCCUGACCCCGCCAAAACAUGGAUCCGAUGUCCCUGCAUGGGGCACCCUUGACUCUGGGUGCCACUGCUGCUGUCGCAUGCGACUCAUGUCAGCAGAAGGGUGAGCAAUCACUCAGGGGACCGUCCAUGGCUGUUACCAUGAACAAAACAGCACGCCCAAGGUGGCUUACAUGUAGGUGGAAUGUCCCAGCAUGGAAUGACAAGUGAUCGAUCAGAGGUGCAGUGUUCUAUUGGUCUUAUCGCACAUCAUGAGAAGGUACUGUGCUCUACCACCAGACCCUGUCUGUGUGUGUGACACAGCUUGCGGAAGCAAUGGAAGAGCUCAAGGCUGUGUGUAUUAAGUGGCGAGAGGUGAAAUUCUUAGACCCACUUGAGACGAUCCGAGGCAAAUGCGUUUGGCAGUGUCAACUUCACCAAUCAAGAACGAGAGUGUGGGGAACAAAGAUGAUCAGAUACCGUUGUAGUCCACUGGCUGUAAACCAUGCCAGCUCGGUGUUGGUGUUGGAGCUUGAUCUGCUACCACAUCAGCACCCACUCCCCCUCCAUCGAGAAAUCCAAGCCUAUGGGUUCAGGGGGGAGUACCCUUGCAAGAGGGAAACUUAAAGGAAUUGACGGAAUGACACCACAAGGUGUGGAGUCUGCGGCUUAAUUUGACUCAACACGGGGAAUGUUACCAAGACAGCACAAGGUGAGGAUGGACAGACUGAUAGAUCUUUCUUGAUCUCUUGGACGGUGGUGCAUGGCCGCUUCUGGUUGGUGGAGUGAUUUGUCUGGCUGAUUCCGUUAACGAGCGAGAUCAAGGCUUCUUAUUGGAUGCUGGCCUCGUUUUAGGGUGUGUCUACUGCAUGGCCUUGGCUGUGAGGUAUGCCCACCUGAGAGAGCCAUGACCCAUCUCAGAG